rnacentral:lncRNA from 10 species
CAGUCUUUGAGUGAUUGCAGUAUGACUCCAUUUCCCUGGUGCAUUCAUAUAAUAGUUCACCUGGUGAAAACAAUGAAGAUUAUUUACAAUGCUACCCUGCUUUUUCUGGUGUCCUGAACCUGGAAGUUGUGCUUUUUAAGAUUGCCCAAUGUUGGCAUGUGGAAAUGCUACUGAUUUUCGUAUGUUGAUUUUGUAUCCUGCAACUUUACUGAAUUUAUCAGUUCUUAUAGUUUUUGUGGAAUCUUUAUGCUUUUCCAAACACAAGAUCAAAUCCUCUGCAAACAACGUCUUAUGAUGUAAUCAGCGCGAUUUCACUUCCUGAAUUUCGAUGAAUUCUAAGACAUGGGCAAGAUCGGGUUGUAAGACCUCUGAGAUUUAAGGCCAUGCCCUGGAUCAUGGUGAACUUACCAAAGCAAACAAUGCCUGUGAGAUGGUCCUGCAGCAGCCAACCAGUGAACUCUUUUGGUGACAUCCUGUUCUUGUUGUAUAACUUUAUAUUCCUAUAAAUCCAUUAAGGCCCCAAUAAAGU